ensembl:lncRNA
AAAUAUCUGACUCAAGACUGAAACAGUCUCAGGAAUCUCUCCACAGACAACACGACUGAGAGCACAAUCUCAUUUAAGAUUCUUCAACAGACACAUCAAAAUAAAACCGACAUGAAUGUCAAAUUAAAUCAUCUAAAACAGACAGAAUAACUGUCUUAAGACAUUAAAACCAUCAGAUAUGUCAAUCUGAAGGCGGAAACAUCAUCAAACAAGGGACCAUGAAACAUGACGAGAUAUCAAAUGGAGAGAAUAUUAGAAAUAGGAGCAAAAGAAGGAAAAAGUAAUCAGAAAUGAUCAGAAAUGAUCAGAAAUGAUCAGAACGUCGAACUCGACCGACAAACAGCAGCGAGAAUAUUCUCCCCCGUGUGUCUCUAACGAGCAGCUUCACUCUUGUGUUGAAAUAAAAGGUUUGUGAGACAGAAUAUGAAGCAACCUUUUCUCCUGCUGUCACACUGCAGUGGGCCUCAGUGUGUGUGUGUGUGUGUGUGUGUGUGUCUGUGUGUGUGUGUGUGUGUGACAGAUAUUACCAUAUCAAUGGUUUCCUUCUGAUAGCUUCCUCCCACUUCUUCUCUCCCUUUCUGUUGGGACGUAAUUGUGGCUGAUUAUCAGAGGAGCACUGCUAUCAACACACACACACACACACACACACACACACCUACACACACACACACACCUACACACACACACACUACACACACACCUACACCUACACACACACACACCUACACACCUACACACACACCUACACACACACACACACACACCUACACACACACAGGUGAUUUGAAUCAGAGCAGGUGAGUGUUGAAGCAUCACAGGAGAUCGUCCGUCGAGGAGAGAAAAUAAAUCGGUUCGCUGAGCGGAGAAAAGUGAAAAGAAGCAGGAGACAGAAGACAGAGAAUGAUGGAAGGCAAGAAGAGAAAGGAGAAGAAGAAGCGGAUUCUGGAAGGUGAUGCAUCAAAGUGCUCGAAAGUUGGUGGUGGGCCGGUGCGGUCAGAAUUUUCCCGGUGGAUUUUGGUGCCCCACUCCGCCCCUGUUGUGAAAACAAAAGUCAGGAGCAGUGCUGCAGAGAGUGACAUCCCAUAAUAACCACCACACUGAAGGAUAGAAGCAGAAGAAGACGCAGAAGACAAGAAGAAGAAGUAGAAGAAGACGCAGAAGAAGUAGAAGAAGAAGAAGAAGAAGUAGAAGAAGAAAUCUUUGGUUGACCGACAACUGACAGGUUUUUAUCACUGACUCACACAAUUAGCAUCAGUUAGCAUGUUGUGGAUGUUAGCAGCAGCUAAUCUCUGCCUCUGUGUUUGUCAUUCUAACACGUCAGAGCCACAAUCAACACGGCUGAGAAUAACAAGCUGCGGCUGAAUGUUUUGUGUUCUGACGUUCGUUAAUAGGACAGAUUCAUUAGUGUGAGUUUGUCGACUCUCAGGUGUCAGAACAGAGUCAAUUAAAAGUGUCUGUCACACUCACACAGUCACAUGUAGACCUCAGCACCACGAUGCCACUGUGACAGACACACUGCACCAUCACCAACACACACUGUGAGGAGGAGGAGGAGGAGGCGGGA